UUGUGACCGUGCAUAUGAGG
rnacentral:misc_RNA from 1 species